rnacentral:rRNA from 1 species
CAAGCCCUGGAAACGGGGUCUAAUACCGGAUAACACUCUCUUCCUCCUGGGAGAGGGUUGAAAGCUCCGGCGGUGAAGGAUGAGCCCGCGGCCUAUCAGCUAGUUGGUGGGGUAAUGGCCUACCAAGGCGACGAUGGGUAGCCGGCCUGAGAGGGCGACCGGCCACACUGGGACUGAGACACGGCCCAGACUCCUACGGGAGGCAGCAGUGGGGAAUAUUGCACAAUGGGCGAAAGCCUGAUGCAGCGACGCCGCGUGAGGGAUGACGGCCUUCGGGUUGUAAACCUCUUUCAGCAGGGAAGAAGCGAAAGUGACGGUACCUGCAGAAGGAGCGCCGGCUAACUACGUGCCAGCAGCCGCGGUAAUACGUAGGGCGCAAGCGUUGUCCGGAAUUAUUGGGCGUAAAGAGCUCGUAGGCGGCGUGUCACGUCGGAUGUGAAAGCCCGGGGCUUAACCCCGGGUCUGCAUUCGAUACGGGCAGGCUAGAGUUCGGUAGGGGAGAUCGGAAUUCCUGGUG